rnacentral:tRNA from 1 species
GCCCGGCCUGCUGUGGGCGAUCGAACAGACCGGCGCACAGCAGGUGUAUGUCACGCAUGGACAGACCGGCGUGCUGACGCGCUGGCUGGGCG